GCAACUUCUGGCAUGAGGUGGAGAACGGUUAGGUCAUGUGUCGUCAUGAACUUGUCGAUAGCGCAGAAUACAGACAACUGGAACUCCUUUAACAUGAUCUUAAGGUUAUUCGCUGUCACUGAUGAUGACAGGAGGACGAGUCCGAGAAUCGUGCUCUUUAGCUUGGGAUAAAAAGCCAAUGAGUCAGAUACUCGAACCAGGUCCUCCCCGUCAACCAUGGUUGCCAGAAAAUUAUUAACAUCACACCAACAUCACACCAUAGAAAAAAUCAGCUCAUUACUACAAAUCUAGUACUUUGCCGAACGUGCUCAGUAGACCUGUCCAAAACAGGUUCUUUAAGGAAUCGAAUAUGGACGGACAUAUACUGAGAAUGGCUGAACCCUAGCAAUACAUACCAGUAACAGUUUUUGUGAAAUAAUUUCCAAUAUCAGUACACGUUCGACUCGAUUAUCCAGAGUCGGGUUCUGGUGUUUCGCAAAAUAAUAUCUCACAAACGGAAUGCUUUGAGAAGCUGAAAUUUUGACUGAUCACUUAUCAAAGUUGGCUUGACUAAAUGUAAAAAUUUCAACUUUAUAGAGCGUUCCGUUCCCCAGAUAUAAAUAUGAUUGUGAAGCAUGUAAGCCCGACUCAGGAUAAUCGAAUCCGAUCUGUAUCAGUUUUUGUAAAAUCAAUUUUUGAACUGGCAGCUCAUGUAAACUCUUUUGGAAUGACUGAUAAGGGGUAGGGUAGCAAGCCACUUAAGCAGUGGCCGGUAUUUUGGGUACUUGUCGCAACAACUCAGUCAAAUAUAACAGAAGAGUGCCCAAAAUAGGAGCCCAGAUGAUUUCACUUCCCUAUUCGGGACGUCAACAGUUCUUUGUAUAUGACUACUUCUGCUCCCCUGAGAAAUUUGUUGCAUAAUAGCCAACAAGGAUUCGCUCAACACAUAUUCCUAGAAAAGCCAAAAUGGUUUUCGUAGGUUUUAUAUCAAAGUUCGAUACGCAUAUUACUAGAGUUCUGAACAGUAAAUGACCACAUCUGCUACUCAGGGGGAGCCUGCUUCGGAAUGGCAACACCAAGGUGAGCUUCUCACUGAGAAGUUUUCAGAAAGUCCUCAUAUAGUAAAACUUUUUUUCAGAAGCCAAUUCCGUGAAGGAUGAUACCCAUAUGGCAGAACCCUUAAAAUAGUAAAUGGCCACAUCCACUGCCCCUGGAAACCUUCUACGGAUUGGCCACCCCAUGGGGAGAUCACCGAAUGGUCCUCAAAUAGUCGAAUAUGCUUUCCGUAGGCAUCUUCAUGAAGUCUGAUGCUGGGAUUCUUCCGAAAUCAGUAAAUGGACACAUCCAUUCCCCCCAGGAACCUGUUUCGGAAUGGCCACCCUAAGGUAAAAUUACAGGACAGUCAUCAAAUAGUCAAACAUGCUUUUCGUGGGCAAUUUCAUAAAGUUUGAAGUCCAUAUUGCUGGGGUUUUGUCGAAAUCAAUGAAUGGUCUUUUACGGUUCCAUGGUAAACCACGGGAUCCGAUGGAAUCCCCCAGGGAGUCAGUUCCAGAUUUAUUGCUCUAUGGAAACCCUAAGGUAUAACCUUAAGGUGGCUAGAAAUAAUAUUCUGUGGCAUUUCCGCAUGAUUAGAUAUACAUAUUGUAGGAAGUUUGCUGAAAUCUCCUGAUGAUAUCUUAUUUCAUAACAUGUCCCUAGAAAUCCGGAUUUCCCGGAAAAUGUAUGGGCCCAUUUCGGUCAAAAUCCCAAAAUACACGAGUUUCUGAAUCGAUUGGUGCGAACAGAUUCAAAAUCGGUUAGAAAUUGACAAAAUCAUGACCGUUUCAACUCCCCCUCGCCAACACCGUUUUCAACUUGGUAUCUAUGUAUAUGCCCUCAGAUGUCACCAAAUUUCAGAUUCCUGAAGAAAACAUUAUUUUCUGGCAACUGAAGUUCAAAAGGGUACCCGUGUACCCUGCUAUCCACAUAAGGGUUAAUAGGCUUUAGUUGAACUCCCAUACUGAGCACCUGUAGCUGCUUUCAAAUUAACUGCAUAACAAAUUUCUAGAGGUUCUGCUAGGCAAUGUUCAUGGAGGCUCUGUCGCUGUGCUGUUCACAAGAAACACAUAAGUUCUACUAGAAGCUCAACACUUCCCGCAAAGGAUUCGUGCCGCAAGCCGAAAUGUGUAGGGAUAAGGACAGGAGCCUCCUGACGGGCAAACGUGAGGCGGUCGAAAGCUGGAAGCAGCACUUCGACGAGCACCUGAAUGGCGAAGAGAAUGUCGGCAUGGGAGAUCAAGGUAGCGAUGCAAAUGACUACGUAUUCAGCAGUGGACGGGAACGAACUAACUCCCCCACUAAGGGAUGCCAUCCAUCUGCUCGAACCACCUCGUAAGGAUGGUAUCGCAGUAUAACUCAUCAGGAUGGGCCCGGAAAAGUUGACGACCCGUCUGCAUAUCGUGCUCCAUUUGAUCGACCCACCUAGCUCGCUGCGCACCACGUCUUAUUGUAGUAUUGUAGGUACCAGUCGGAUGACUCUCGACAACCGUUUUAGUCGGGUUGAUAUCCGUCAUCCUGAUGACGACCCGCCCACCGUAGCCUCCCGAUUAUGUGGACGAUGGUCGGUUCUCUCAGCAGCUGAUGCUGGUUCAUUCGCCUUCUCCAAGUCCCGUCUUUCAUCUAUACUCCGCCGUAGAUGGUACGCAACACCUUCCGUUCGAAAACGGAUGGUCGCACCCAUCGUCGCCAAAACUCGUCGAUCAUCCAUUGCGUUAACUUCCAACUAUCUCGCAAAGCAUUUUGGUACUCUAGUGGUAGAUCUGUGUGCUGAGCGAUUCCUUGUGGGAAAUAGAUCAAGAAAUAACUGGGAGUUAGGGCCUCUUGAUCUCCCGAGUACAAAUGACAAUUGCCCCAGCUUCCAGUACGAUGGUCUCGAACGUUUCUUCGUUUGGAUGUCGUAGUCCGUCGAGAAAAGCUUACAUAGGCGUUUUAGCGGAACACAGUAGUAUGUGCUCUCCCAGAUCGCCCAUAUCGGGUGCGGCUCCACUAAGGAUGUCAAUCUUACCUUUGCUAACGGAGCUAUCCGAGGUACAGUAUGACCCAUAAAAAAAUGCGACAUUCCAUUUUUUUGCAGUAUUUGAUGAUUUUUAAUGAAAUAAUCCCAAUGAAUUAAACUUUUUUGGAUUAGGAUACAAUAAGGAGGUCAUUGUCAUACAGGAUCUCUAAAAUUUUUGUCAAAAUAUUCAUUGGUUACGUAUAUGGGAUACCUUAUAAUUGUUAACAAUUUCUAAAUAAAAUCAAGUUUUCCUAUAAUUUUCAUAGCAAAAUGAACUAAGAUAAAAACUUUUAAACACAUGGAAACCAUGAAAAAAUAUGUACUCUUUAAUACGCCCAUGUUUGAAAAAUAUUUUAAAAAUAAUUUCAAAUGUUUAGGAAACAAAAACUAAAAAAGGUGCUACAUAUUAAAAACCGUAUUUAAGAUAAAUUAAUAAAAAACUUAACACUGUUAGAACAUUUUUCAAAACAUUUUUUUGUCGAUGAAGGCAUAUAUACCUACCUUUAUGAUAGGUACAAAUACUAUGUACUUAAAAAAAUUUCAUGCUUAAAACAUAAUAUUUUCUAAAAAUUAUCAUUUGUCAAAUAAUUCAAUUUUCACAAAAUGUCUCUUAAUUUAUAAGUUAAUAUUUUUUUCGUGCUUGUCCGACGAACCAACCAACUCCUGAAGACCUUAUCCAGCCAUAAAAGUACUAUUUUGAAAAUAAAAUUUGAUUGAAUGUGAUUGAAAGCAAUUGAAAGAAAAUUAUAUCCUUAAAAAACGGCCUCUGGCGCGUAGACGAUUUCGACAUCUAUAUGUUCAACGUUAUAUUUCCGAAGGUAUUUGCAUGGAAUUAGUCUAUGUUCCUUUGCCAUUAUAAGAUUAGUGGCUCUACUAUACUAUCCAAUAGAUACAUGCGAGGUUAAUCAGUUCGAAGUAGGGGAACGAUGACUUUGAAAACUGUCGCAUUUUUUUAUGGGUCAUACUGUACAUAACUGUGGGUUUGCUUUGUUGACCUUACACCUUUGACAUUCUGGUGCCACCUUCCUAAUCAGUCGUCGUAGCGCAGGAACGCAGAAUCGCUGCUUCAUGUCGUUCAGAACCGUAUCGUGGUUUGCAUGUAAAAGGCGGCGGUGAUAGCUGUUAGUUAGAAAUA